rnacentral:lncRNA from 10 species
UGGCCGGCUAAUUUUAGUAGAGACAGGGUUUUGCCAUGUUGGCUAGGCUGGUCUCGAACUCCUGACCUCAAGUGAUCCACCCACCUUGGCCUCCGAGAGUGCUGGGAUUACAGGCGUGAAUCACCAUGCCCGGCAAUUUAAUAUUUGAAAAGAACACUGUUAAAAGAACUGCAAGCAUGAUGAUAUGGAAACACCUUCCAAAAUACUAGUUUGAAAAAAUGUUCCACUGUUUGGUUUAAUAUAUUAGGUAGUACUGUAAUCACUUUUAUUGCUACAAUAACUUCAGGAAACUACCCAGGGCAGAUGUCUUCAAAAAAAGAGCAGGAAGAAGGCAAAUGGCAGAUGAAAUGAGAUGUCAAUAUGGAACUA